rnacentral:rRNA from 1 species
UAACGUAGGGCGGCAAGCGUUGUCCGGAAUUAUUGGGCGUAAAGAGCUCGUAGGCGGCCUGUUACGUCUGCUGUGAAAUCCCGGGGCUUAACCCCGGGCGUGCAGUGGAUACGGGCAGGCUGGAGGCAGGCAGGGGAGAACGGAAUUCCCGGUGUAGCGGUGAAAUGCGCAGAGUAUCGGGAGGAACACCGGUGGCGAAGGCGGUUCUCUGGGCCUGUACUGACGCUGAGGAGCGAAAGCGUGGGGAGCGAACAGG